rnacentral:rRNA from 1 species
CUGGCUCAGGACGAACGCUGGCGGCGUGCCUAACACAUGCAAGUCGAACGCCCUUCCCUCGUGGAAGGGAGUGGCGGACGGGUGAGUAACACGUGGGUACCUACCCCGAAGUGAGGAAUACCGGCGAGAAAUCGCCGACAAUACCGCAUACGCUCCUGCGGGAGCAAAGCUCGUAAGGGCGCUUUGGGAUGGGCCUGCGGCCGAUUAGCUAGCUGGUGAGGUAACGGCUUACCAGGGCGACGAUCGGUAGCUGGUCUGAGAGGACGAUCAGCCACACUGGGAU